ACGCUGGCGGCGUGCCUAACACAUGCAAGUCGAACGGUAACAGGACUUCGGUCGCUGACGAGUGGCGCACGGGUGAGUAACGCGUGGAUAUCUACCUAUGGGUGGGGGACAACUACGGGAAACCGUAGCUAAUACCGCAUACGACCUACGGGUGAAAGCGGGGGACCUUCGGGCCUCGCGCCGAUAGAUGAGUCCGCGUCUGAUUAGCUAGUUGGUAGGGUAAAGGCCUACCAAGGCGAUGAUCAGUAACUGGUUUGAGAGGAUGAUCAGUCACACUGGAACUGAGACACGGUCCAGACUCCUACGGGAGGCAGCAGUGGGGAAUUUUGCACAAUGGGCGCAAGCCUGAUGCAGCGACGCCGCGUGCGGGAAGAAGGCCUUAGGGUUGUAAACCGCUUUCAAUUGGGAAGAAGGGAUGAAGGUUAAUAACUUUCUGACUUGACGGUACCUUUAGAAGAAGCACCGGCUAAUUUCGUGCCAGCAGCCGCGGUAAUACGAAAGGUGCAAGCGUUGUUCGGAUUUACUGGGCGUAAAGAGAUCGUAGGUGGUUUGUUAAGUUGGAUGUGAAAUCCCGGGGCUCAACCUCGGAACUGCAUCCAAAACUGGCAGACUAGAGUUCGGGAGGGGUAAGCGGAAUUCCGUGUGUAGCAGUGAAAUGCGUAGAUAUACGGAGGAACACCAGAGGCGAAGGCGGCUUACUGGACCGAUACUGACACUGAG
rnacentral:rRNA from 1 species